AGAAAUUUAGGAUAUAUGUAAACCAAGGGCCUUCAAAGCCCUAAAAAAGAGGCGCUCUCUUAAUUUCUG
rnacentral:tRNA from 1 species